rnacentral:rRNA from 1 species
UACAGAGGGUGCGAGCGUUAAUCGGAAUUACUGGGCGUAAAGCGUGCGUAGACGGUUAUGUAAGUCGGAUGUGAAAGCCCCGGGCUUAACCUGGGAAUUGCAUUCGAGACUGCAUAGCUAGGAUGCGGAAGAGGGAAGUGGAAUUUCCGGUGUAGCGGUGAAAUGCGUAGAUAUCGGAAGGAACACCAGUGGCGAAGGCGGCUACCUGGACCAGCACUGACACUGAGGCACGAAAGCGUGGGGAGCAAACAGG